GAUAUGGUCAAUAGCCUAACGGCUGAACCAGCAACUUGGAGGAUAUAAAGCAAUAGCUGAUUGCAUUUAAAUGUAGUUACUACUUGGUAGUUUAAAGUUCUAGGUAGAAUUAUGAUGAUGACAUUAUCUAUCUAUUAGUCUUGACCAAAUUACGUGCCAGCAGUCGCGGCAAUACGUAGAAGACAAGUGUUAUUCAUCUUUAUUAGGUUUAAAGAGUACCAAGACGGUUAAUAAAGCCCAAAAUAAAUGAAUACGGGGGACACAUUAACUAGAGUUAUAUGAAAUGAAGCUAUAAGGUACUGUUGAGUGUAGAGAUGAAAUUUAAUGAUACCAGAUGAUUGGCACAGAUUAAUGCGAAGGCAUCUUCUUAUGUAAUAACUGACGUUGUAGGACGAAGGCUUUGGGUGUGAACAGGAUUAGGUACCCCAGUAAUCUUGGCAGAAAAUGAUGAAUGUCAUAGGUAUUAUUGGGUCUAUAAAUGAAAGUGUAAGCAUUCCACCUCAAGAGUAAUUUGGCAACAUUGGAACUGAAAUCAUUAGACCGUUUCUGAAACCAGUAGUGAAGUAUGUUGUUUAAUUAGAUGAUACACAAGAACCUUACCACAAUCUGAAUAUAUAUAAAUUAUAUUUACAAGCGCUGCACGGCUGUCUACAGUUAAUGUCGUGAGAUUUUGGUUAGCUCCAUAAAAUUGACGUAAACCCUAAUUUUAUUUAUAAAUAUAAUUAACAUCGCUAUAUAUGAUGUUUUAAGAGGGAACAUGACAAGUCAUCAUGG
rnacentral:rRNA from 1 species